ensembl:lncRNA
GCAGCUUUGUUGUGUUCAUGACAGGAGAUAAAAUUAAAAUUUUAACUACUGCCUCAGCAAAGCCCCAGUACCCCCUCCUCCUCAGAAUCUCCUGUCUGACACACCUUGAAGGAGGAAUCUCUUUGAAGGUCCAUCAGUGAAGAAAGCUGUGGCAAUUCUUAUCAUGGCUGGACUCCAUUUUCAGAGCAAGGGAAAUUCCAGCAAAACUUCCAGACCCAUCAAGGUGGUUUAGCUCUUAUUCAUCACCCUCCUGGCAUCCAGGCUUGAAAUCCUUAAUGUGAUUAGUGCCGGGGAAACGAUUUUCAUCCUGCUCAGCUUUACUCACAGCCCCUGGUAAAGUGCAAGACCUGGUGGCUGAGGGGAGAGGGUUGACUGAAAUCUCCCCCUUUUACAGCAGAGCUGGAAUGGCAGGGCUCUGUCCCCAGAGAUCCCGUGGCACACAAAUGUCCCUUUGCUCCAUGGCAAACAGAGCCACAACAAUCACAUCCAUCCAUGGCAGGAGCACUGAGAAGAGAGAAAAGCUGGAGCUGUUGUGGCAGAAGUAGGGACAGCCAGGAGGAAUGCCUGCAAACAUCCUGACAUUGAACUUCUAAUUCCAUUUUCCGUAAGGACGCUGGCAUCUGGUGUGUUAUUAAGUAACUCGGUGGAGAUCUGUUAAAUGCAUAACCUCCCUGCACAAAGGAUACAUUCUUUUACUGCCUUUCUCCCUUUAACCCCUGCUUCCCUUUGAUACUUGCCUGCUCCACAGUUGCCAAUCAUGAUUUUGCAAACUCAGUUGAAACAUUUCAGUGGGACAAAUCACCCUGUUUUUUUCACUCCCUGCCAUCCUCAGGAGUUUACAGUCAGAACCUCCAUUGCUUUCAGCCUGAAAUUUCCCUUUGCUUUCCUGCAAAUCCUUGGAGUUGUUUUCAACAAGAUGCACCAAGGUGUUUCACCAAGAGAAAAAACAUCUGACAAAAGUUCCCAGGGCAGAUGGAAGAAAAUGGGCAUCAGUUUAGAUUGUCUGUGCCAGGAAAUAUAUAAUAAUGCCGUCAUUCUUAAGACAACUCUGCAGCAGCAGGCUCAGACAGCUACAAAGUGGAGCACAUGCAUGGAUUUGUCAUCCUGUCUUACUCUUAAACAACAUUGGCUUCUUUGUCAAUUGUGAGGAACUGGGGGGGAAAGCCCCUUGGAGAUGAGCCACACGUUUCUUGGUUCCUGAGCUCUGAUGGCAAUGUUGGCUGCAACACAAUCCUUUUUUUAGAAAGGAGAGGUGAGCAUCUUGUGCAACUUGCUCAGAAAAGUCAACAGAUGUGUUUGACAAAUGAACUUUCUUGACACAAGUUGACUUGUGACACCCAAGAACAGGAUGUGUGUGACGGUGUAAAUCCGAUGUUCCAGACAGAGCAGGAGGGCUGUUACCUGCUCCCUGCUGCCCCACUUCUGGUGUCCACCAUCAAUCCAUGCUGGUGGACAUCUGAUGUUUCUAUUUGAACUACUGAUUUGGUAAGGCUGUGUCUUUUACCAGGUUCAGCUGAGUGUGGCAGGUCCUUCUGAGGGGACGCUUUUCUCCACCUCCUCCUUUUUCACAGUACUCAGAACAUGAAGAGAUUCACUCCUUCCUCUGUCUCAUGGACAAAUAAAUACAGGCUCUGUGGAUCUGUUCUCA